UUUACAGUCCAGAUAUGGUGGGGGUCCAUUAACCAAAUCAACCCCGACAAGGGCCCAUAUACUUGGAUUGGACCAUCAAGUUAACUUUUCAUACCAAAGCCCAAUUGAGAACCCUCUCGGCCAUAACUUCAAAGGUGAAGUCGAGGGCUUAGUUCGAACACGCAGCAUACCAUUUAAAAUAAUUUCUUCCAUUUUCAUAAGUCAAUUUAAAC
rnacentral:lncRNA from 1 species